rnacentral:rRNA from 1 species
GUGGGGAAUUUUGGACAAUGGGCGCAAGCCUGAUCCAGCCAUGCCGCGUGCAGGAUGAAGGCCUUCGGGUUGUAAACUGCUUUUGUACGGAACGAAAAGACUCUGGUUAAUACCUGGGGUCCAUGACGGUACCGUAAGAAUAAGCACCGGCUAACUACGUGCCAGCAGCCGCGGUAAUACGUAGGGUGCGAGCGUUAAUCGGAAUUACUGGGCGUAAAGCGUGCGCAGGCGGUUAUAUAAGACAGAUGUGAAAUCCCCGGGCUCAACCUGGGAACUGCAUUUGUGACUGUAUAGCUAGAGUACGGCAGAGGGGGAUGGAAUUCCGCGUGUAGCAGUGAAAUGCGUAGAUAUGCGGAGGAACACCGAUGGCGAAGGCAAUCCCCUGGGCCUGUACUGACGCUCAUGCACGAAAGCGUGGGGAGCAAACAGGAUUAGAUACCCGUGUAGUCC